AUGCCGAGGGGCCGCGCCUCGCUGAUCCGUCGGCGUAUCGCAGCCUCGCUGGGGCCCUAUAGUACCUCACCAUCACCAGGCCGGAGCUCGCGUCGGGACUGUCACCACGCCCUCAUCAAAUGCGUGUUGCGGUAUGUGCGUGGUGCGCCGUCCCAUGGCUUGCAUCUUCGCGCCUCUCCAUCGCUGGACCUGCGGGCAUUCACUGACGCCGACUGGGCCGACUGCCCCGACAUGCGCCAGUCGACGUCUAGCUUCUGCAUCUACCUCGGCGACGCGCUCAUCUCCUGGUCGUCCAAAUGCCAGGCUACGGUGUCACGGUCCAGUGCCGAAGCUGAGUACCGCGGCAUCGCCAAUGCAGUUGCCGAGUGCGUGUGGUUCCGACAACUCCUUGGCGAGCUCCUGCUCCCUCUUCGAUCGGCGACCAUGGUCUUCUGCGACAACGUCUCAGCCUGA
rnacentral:rRNA from 1 species